UUGAAACACUGGUUCCUGUAUGAUCACUGAAGUUAAGCAACAUCAAGCCUGGUCUGUACCUAGAUGGGUGAUUGCUUGGGAAUACUGUGCUGU